AAUCCAUAGGUUAAUGAGGCGAACCGGGGGAACUGAAACAUCUAAGUACCCCGAGGAAAAGAAAUCAACCGAGAUUCCCCCAGUAGCGGCGAGCGAACGGGGAGGAGCCCAGAGCCUGAAUCAGUGUGUGUGUUAGUGGAAGCGUCUGGAAAGGCGCGCGAUACAGGGUGACAGCCCCGUACACAAAAAUGCACAUGCUGUGAGCUCGAUGAGUAGGGCGGGACACGUGGUAUCCUGUCUGAAUAUGGGGGGACCAUCCUCCAAGGCUAAAUACUCCUGACUGACCGAUAGUGAACCAGUACCGUGAGGGAAAGGCGAAAAGAACCCCGGCGAGGGGAGUGAAAAAGAACCUGAAACCGUGUACGUACAAGCAGUGGGAGCACAGAGCAAUCUGUGUGACUGCGUACCUUUUGUAUAAUGGGUCAGCGACUUAUAUUCUGUAGCAAGGUUAACCGAAUAGGGGAGCCGAAGGGAAACCGAGUCUUAACUGGGCGUUAAGUUGCAGGGUAUAGACCCGAAACCCGGUGAUCUAGCCAUGGGCAGGUUGAAGGUUGGGUAACACUAACUGGAGGACCGAACCGACUAAUGUUGAAAAAUUAGCGGAUGACUUGUGGCUGGGGGUGAAAGGCCAAUCAAACCGGGAGAUAGCUGGUUCUCCCCGAAAGCUAUUUAGGUAGCGCCUCGUGAAUUCAUCUCCGGGGGUAGAGCACUGUUUCGGCAAGGGGGUCAUCCCGACUUACCAACCCGAUGCAAACUGCGAAUACCGGAGAAUGUUAUCACGGGAGACACACGGCGGGUGCUAACGUCCGUCGUGAAGAGGGAAACAACCCAGACCGCCAGCUAAGGUCCCAAAGUCAUGGUUAAGUGGGAAACGAUGUGGGAAGGCCCAGACAGCCAGGAUGUUGGCUUAGAAGCAGCCAUCAUUUAAAGAAAGCGUAAUAGCUCACUGGUCGAGUCGGCCUGCGCGGAAGAUGUAACGGGGCUAAACCAUGCACCGAAGCUGCGGCAGCGACACUAUGUGUUGUUGGGUAGGGGAGCGUUCUGUAAGCCUGUGAAGGUGUGCUGUGAGGCAUGCUGGAGGUAUCAGAAGUGCGAAUGCUGACAUAAGUAACGAUAAAGCGGGUGAAAAGCCCGCUCGCCGGAAGACCAAGGGUUCCUGUCCAACGUUAAUCGGGGCAGGGUGAGUCGACCCCUAAGGCGAGGCCGAAAGGCGUAGUCGAUGGGAAACAGGUUAAUAUUCCUGUACUUGGUGUUACUGCGAAGGGGGGACGGAGAAGGCUAUGUUGGCCGGGCGACGGUUGUCCCGGUUUAAGCGUGUAGGCUGGUUUUCCAGGCAAAUCCGGAAAAUCAAGGCUGAGGCGUGAUGACGAGGCACUACGGUGCUGAAGCAACAAAUGCCCUGCUUCCAGGAAAAGCCUCUAAGCAUCAGGUAACAUCAAAUCGUACCCCAAACCGACACAGGUGGUCAGGUAGAGAAUACCAAGGCGCUUGAGAGAACUCGGGUGAAGGAACUAGGCAAAAUGGUGCCGUAACUUCGGGAGAAGGCACGCUGAUAUGUAGGUGAAGCGACUUGCUCGUGGAGCUGAAAUCAGUCGAAGAUACCAGCUGGCUGCAACUGUUUAUUAAAAACACAGCACUGUGCAAACACGAAAGUGGACGUAUACGGUGUGACGCCUGCCCGGUGC
rnacentral:rRNA from 1 species